rnacentral:rRNA from 1 species
AUUGAACGCUGGCGGCAGGCCUAACACAUGCAAGUCGAGCGGAUGAAGAGAGCUUGCUCUCUGAUUUAGCGGCGGACGGGUGAGUAAUGCCUAGGAAUCUGCCUGGUAGUGGGGGAUAACGUUCCGAAAGGAACGCUAAUACCGCGUACGUCCUACGGGAGAAAGCAGGGGACCUUCGGGCCUUGCGCUAUCAGAUGAGCCUAGGUCGGAUUAGCUAGUUGGUGAGGUAAUGGCUCACCAAGGCGACGAUCCGUAACUGGUCUGAGAGGAUGAUCAGUCACACUGGAACUGAGACACGGUCCAGACUCCUACGGGAGGCAGCAGUGGGGAAUAUUGGACAAUGGGCGAAAGCCUGAUCCAGCCAUGCCGCGUGUGUGAAGAAGGUCUUCGGAUUGUAAAGCACUUUAAGUUGGGAGGAAGGGUAUUCACCUAAUACGUGGGUACUUUGACGUUACCAACAGAAUAAGCACCGGCUAACUCUGUGCCAGCCGCCGCAGUAAGAC